rnacentral:rRNA from 1 species
GAUGAACGCUGGCGGCGUGCCGAAAACAUGCAAGUCGUGCGGCAGCAUGCCCUUCGGGGUGAUGGCGAGCGGCGGACGGCUGAGUAACGCGUGGGAACGUGCCCCAAAGUGAGGGAUAACUGCCCGAAAGGGUGGCUAAUACCGCAUAUGGUCUCCGGAUUAAAGCUUCGGCGCUUUGGGAGCGGCCCGCGUAAGAUUAGAUAGUUGGUGAGGUAAUGGCUCACCAAGUCGAUGAUCUUUAACUGGUUUGAGAGGAUGAUCAGUCAGACUGGAACUGAGAAACGGUCCAGACUCCUACGGGAGGCAGCAGUGGGGAAUAUUGGACAAUGGGCGCAAGCCUGAUCCAGCCAUGCCGCGUGAGUGAUGAAGGCCUUAGGGUUGUAAAGCUCUUUUAUCUGGGACGAUAAUGACGGUACCGGAUGAAUAAGCCCCGGCUAACUUCGUGCCAGCAGCCGCAGUAA